GGUUAUAUGCUUAUCUCAAAGGCUAAGCCAUGCAUGUCUCAGUUCAAAUGGCCUUAAAGGUGAAACCGCGAACGGCUCAUUACAACAGCUAUAAUAUACUUGAUCUUGAUAUCCUACGUGGAUAACUGUGGUAAUUCUAGAGCUAAUACAUGCACCAAAGCUCCGACUCGUCGACGAGCGCAUCUAUUAGAUUAAAACCAAUCGGGUCUCGGCCCGUCAAUUGGUGACUCUGAAUAACUAUGGCUGAUCGCAUGGUCUCGCACCGGCGACGUGUCUAUCAAGUGUCUGCCUUAUCAACUUUCGAUGGUAGUUUAUGUGCCUACCAUGGUUGUAACGGGUAACGGAGAAUAAGGGUUCGACUCCGGAGAGGGAGCCUGAGAAACGGCUACCACAUCCAAGGAAGGCAGCAGGCGCGCAAAUUACCCACUCUCGGCAUGAGGAGGUAGUGACGAAAAAUAACGAGACCGUUCUCUAUGAGGCCGGUUAUCGGAAUGGGUACAAUUUAAACCCGUUAACGAGGAUCUAUGAGAGGGCAAGUCUGGUGCCAGCAGCCGCGGUAAUUCCAGCUCUCAAAGUGUAUAUCGUCAUUGCUGCGGUUAAAAAGCUCGUAGUUGGAUCUGCGCCUCAGGACUCGGUCCGCCCACUGGGCGAGAACUGGGCUCCUGGGCUAGUACUGUUGGCUUUCCCUACGUUGCCUUUACCGGUCGCGUAGGGUGGCUAGCGAGUUUACUUUGAACAAAUUAGAGUGCUCCAAGCGGGCUAAUGUCUGAAUACUCGUGCAUGGAAUAAUAGAAUAGGAUCUCGGUUCUAUUUUGUUGGUUUUCUGAUCUGAGAUAAUGGUUAAGAGGGACGGACGGGGGCAUUCGUAUCGCUGCGUGAGAGGUGAAAUUCUUGGACCGUAGCGAGACGACCGACUGCGAAAGCAUUUGCCAAGAAUGUCUUCAUUAAUCAAGAACGAAAGUCAGAGGUUCGAAGGCGAUCAGAUACCGCCCUAGUUCUGACCGUAAACGAUACCAACUAGCGUUCCGUCGGCGGUAAAUACGCCUUGACGGGCAGCUUCCCGGAAACGAAAGUUUUUCGGUUCCGGGGGAAGUAUGGUUGCAAAGCUGAAACUUAAAGAAAUUGACGGAAGGGCACCACCAGGAGUGGAGCCUGCGGCUUAAUUUGACUCAACACGGGAAAACUCACCUGGCCCGGACACCGUGAGGAUUGACAGAUUGAGAGCUCUUUCUUGAUUCGGUGGUUGGUGGUGCAUGGCCGUUCUUAGUUGGUGGAGUGAUUUGUCUGGUUUAUUCCGAUAACGAGCGAGACUCUAGCCUACUAAAUAGUUGCUGGAUAGCCAAGUCCAGAAGACUUCUUAGAGGGACAAGCGGUGUUCAGCCGCAUGAAGCUGAGCAAUAACAGGUCUGUGAUGCCCUUAGAUGUCCAGGGCUGCACGCGCGCUACACUGGAGGAAUCAGCGUGCUGUAACCAUUGCCGAAAGGUAUUGGUAACCCCUUGAAAAUCCUCCGUGAUCGGGAUCGGGAAUUGCAAUUAUUUCCCUUGAACGAGGAAUUCCUAGUAAGUGUGAGUCAUCAGCUCACGUUGAUUACGUCCCUGCCCUUUGUACACACCGCCCGUCGCUGCCCGGGACUGAGCCGUUUCGAGAAAAGCGGGGACUGCUGUUUCGAGACCUUUCGAGGUGGAGAUUCUUUGGUGGAAACCGCCUUAAUCGCAGUGGCUUGAACCGGGCAAAAGUCGUAACAAGGUUUCC
rnacentral:rRNA from 1 species